rnacentral:rRNA from 1 species
UACGUAGGUGGCAAGCGUUGUCCGGAUUUAUUGGGUUUAAAGGGUGCGUAGGUGGUCAAUUAAGUCAGUGCUGAAAUAUCCCGGCUUAACCGGGAGGGUGGCAUUGAUACUGAUUGACUUGAGUGGAGUUGAGGUAGGCGGAAUUGACGGUGUAGCGGUGAAAUGCUUAGGAUAUCGUCAAGAACACCAAUAGCGAAGGCAGCUUACGUAGCUCAA